rnacentral:rRNA from 1 species
GACGAACCGUGCAAACGUUGUUCGGAAUCACUGGGCUUAAAGGGCGCGUAGGCGGUCCGGCACGUCCGGGGUGAAAGCCUCCAGCUCAACUGGAGAAGUGCCUCGGAUACGACCGGACUCGAGGGGGAUAGGGGCGUGUGGAACUUCCGGUGGAGCGGUGAAAUGCGUAGAUAUCGGAAGGAACGCCGGUGGCGAAAGCGGCACGCUGGAUCCCAUCUGACGCUGAGGCGCGAAAGCCAGGGGAGCAAACGGG